rnacentral:lncRNA from 1 species
GCUCGGCAAUGGGAGUAGCCACUGAGGAGGCGGUUGGAGGAGCAUGGAGGCGCUGGCCUUGAUCUGAGGAGGCGGCUGCUUGAGUCGAGGUGGCGAUCUCGACCUUUGGAGACACGGGCGGCUCGAUUCCUGGAGGUCGGGCCGCGUAGAGUGAACCGGCAGCGCCGAUUGGUGAUUCCAGGAGGCGGUUGUGACGAUUCCCAUGGAGGCGGCAGCGGCACUUCAAACUCUGGAGGCACAGUUCAUCAAGGCGGCGGCUUUGAUAGGUGAUGAGACGAAUUGAUCUCCAGAGAGGGGUCGGGGAAAGCCGGAUCCGGCCGCGACAGGGUCGGAGGAGCCCAGUCCCGGUGACGUCGAGGCUAGGGGAGGCCGGAUCCGGUGACGCGAAGUCGUCGCCAUGCGCUUUUCCUCAAGGGGGACGAGGUGGUGGCGACUGGAACCGGAGGAGGAGGCCAGGACGGCGGAGCUCUCCUCAGGCGCCCAUCCUCGGCGGCGGGACUGCGUCCCAUGGCGGCGUCCGCGGGGACCGGCCGUGCUCCAUCCCAUGGCGAUGGCGGCGUGGAC